AGCGAACGCUGGCGGCAGGCCUAACACAUGCAAGUCGAACGAACCUUUCGGGGUUAGUGGCGGACGGGUGAGUAACACGUGGGAACGUGCCUUUAGGUUCGGAAUAACUCAGGGAAACUUGUGCUAAUACCGAAUGUGCCCUUCGGGGGAAAGAUUUAUCGCCUUUAGAGCGGCCCGCGUCUGAUUAGCUAGUUGGUUGAGGUAAUGGCUCACCAAGGCGACGAUCAGUAGCUGGUCUGAGAGGAUGAUCAGCCACAUUGGGACUGAGACACGGCCCAAACUCCUACGGGAGGCAGCAGUGGGGAAUCUUGCGAAAUGGGCGAAAGCAUGACGCAGCCAUGCCGCGUGAAUGAUGAAGGUCGUAGGAUUGUAAAAUUCUUUCACCGGGGACGAUAAUGACGGUACCCGGAGAAGAAGCCCCGGCUAACUUCGUG
rnacentral:rRNA from 1 species